rnacentral:rRNA from 1 species
AGAGUUGAUCUGGCUCAGGACGAACGCUGGCGGCGUGCUUCAUACAUGCAAGUCGAACGAUAAGGCACCUUCGGGUAUACAUAAGUGGCGGACGGGUGAGUAAUAUGUAGAGAAUCUGCCCUAGAGAGUGGGACAACAGUUGGAAACGACUGCUAAUACCGCAUAUGAGCGUACCUGAAAUGGUAUUCUUGAAAACUCCGGUGCUCUGGGAUGAGUCUGCAUCUGAUUAGCUAGUUGGGGGUGUAAUGGACCACCAAGGCGACGAUCAGUAGCUGGUUUGAGAGGAUGAUCAGCCACAAUGGGACUGAGACACGGCCCAUACUCCUACGGGAGGCAGCAGUAGGGAAUUUUGCGCAAUGGGGGAAACCCUGAACCGCAGCAACGCCGCGUGACCGAUGAAGCCCUUCGGGGUGUAAAGGUCUGUCAGUGGGGACGAAUAUUGACGGUACCCACAGAGGAAGCAUCGGCUAACUCCGUGCCAGCAGCCGC